rnacentral:rRNA from 1 species
AAAAGUUAUAUGAAAGGUGAGAAGAUAUAACCAUCCUAUAUUAAUGGGGAGUAUUAAAUCAUAGCUAUAAUAUGGGGGUGCAUAUUAAGUGAUAUAUAUAUCUAAAGAAAAGCAAAAGGAACGUAUAUAUUAGUUUUUCGUCGAACUAAAGUAAUAAAAAAAAGAUAUCUGUAAAUAAGUAUAGAAAAUAGAACAUUUAGUAAAAUAUAAAUAGAGUAAAAGAAGUACCGCAAGGGAAAGAUACAAGAAAACGUAAAAGCAGCGGUUUUCUCGCGUACCUUUUGUAUCAUGGCUUAGCAAGAGAUUAUAAUAUAUUUUAUCUCUCGAGACCCGCGGAGCUACCUAAGUCCCUAUAUAAAGAUAGUAGUAUCACACUGAAGAUGUAGCAUAAUCUUGGGAAGAGAGUUAGGUAGAAUGUUAAAUGCUUUCCGACACGGGCGAUAGCUAGUUUCUUCAAAAAUGUAUGUUAAUACAGGGGUGCUUUUAGAUGGGGGUAAAUAUAUAUACUACCAACCAUGGAAAGAGCACUACUUGUGUGCUUGAGGAUCAGCUCGGGCAUAGAGUAUAAUAAAAUAUAAUUAUAUGUUUUAGGUGUAGGUUUGGAAGUGGCCACCACUUAUGCUGUUUGUUAUAAAUGAUAAUAUACAGAUUAGGUGAUAUAAUUAGUAAUUUUAGUUAAUAAUGGAGAUAUAGGCUUAAAACAUGAGUGCCUAAAUAUACUGCUAAGAUGAGUAUUUUUUAAAAUAUAAAAGUAGUUAUCUAAAUAUAAAAUAAAAGACUACGUUAAUAUAAAGUAUAUAUCAUUUAAAAUAUAAAAAGGAACUCGGCAAAAUGUAAUUUCCGCCUGUUUAUCAAAAACAUGGCUUCUUGUUUUUAUUAAUAUAAGAAGUCGUACCUGCCCGGUGUAUCUAAUUAUAAACGGCCGCGGUACUUUGACCGUGCGAAGGUAGCAUAAUCAUUUGUUCAUUAAUUGUGGACUUGUAUGAAUGGUUUGACGGGAAAUUAACUGUCUCCUUAUAUUUUUAUAAAAAUUGACUUCUAGGUAAAAAGGCCUAACUGUUACACAAAGACGAGAAGACCCUGUGAGCUUUACCUUGUAAGGAGAAUUGCUAUAACUUCUUCUCGACAGGGAUUGGUUGGGGCGACAGAAGAACAAAGAAAGCUUCUUCUCAAUGUAGUUAAUUGCUUACGUAGAUCCGGUAUAUGUCGAUCGAAGGAACGAGUUACCACAGGGAUAACAGCAUUAUCUUCUCUGUGAGUUCUUAUCUAAGAGAGGGUUUGUGACCUCGAUGUUGGACUAGGGUAUCCUGAAGGUGCAGAAGCUUUCUAAGGUUGGUCUGUUCGACCAUUAAAACCCU